UACGAAGGGGGCUAGCGUUGCUCGGAAUCACUGGGCGUAAAGGGUGCGUAGGCGGGUUUUUAAGUCAGGGGUGAAAUCCUGGAGCUCAACUCCAGAACUGCCUUUGAUACUGAAGAUCUUGAGUCCGGGAGAGGUGAGUGGAACUGCGAGUGUAGAGGUGAAAUUCGUAGAUAUUCGCAAGAACACCAGUGGCGAAGGCGGCUCACUGGCC
rnacentral:rRNA from 1 species